rnacentral:lncRNA from 11 species
GCCAGGAACUUGGCAAGGAGAGAAGGGACUUUUCUCUCCCCAAGCAGCAACAGAGGGAGCCUGGUGCUUGGGGAGAUAAAAAUCUUCCUCCCUCUCCCUCUCCCUCUCCCUCUCCCGAGUUCCCUCUGGCUCAGCAGCACUCCAUUCCUCAGGCUGCCACAAGAGGAUGUGAAGGAGGAGGUGGUGGAAGACGAAGUGGCAGAGGAAGCCAUGAGCACAGCGGAAGCCCACCCUCCAUCCGCCACCUCGGAGCAGCUGGUGGGAGCCUCCGAGCUCCUCAAAGCCAGUAUUGCACCACCUGACAUCCAUCGGGGAGUAGCAGCCUGUAAUAAAAGGACCAAGGAAUUGACAUCUCUGGCCCAUCUGCUGUUCAGAUAUCAGCCAGCAAGCCAACACCUUAAAUCAAGAAAUAGCUUCCUAAGAUCUACAGAGACACUCGCAGGAACACCUCAGCAAGUGAGAGUCCAAAAGUGGCAGUCUAAAACGUGAAACUUAUUCCAUGGCUGAUACCAGAUGAGAAACUCCCUCCUGGGCACACAGAAGACUGGGUGAUUUGGAAGGCAAUGAAUAGACUGUGCUCUGGCACAAAGCUAAUCUUAAGAAAUGGGGCUACAAAGAGGAAUCCACAAUGUGCGAGUAUGGAGAAGAGACCAUUUGCUACAGUGCGGCCUGAGCCCUGACACAUGCAUGGUGGAGGACCUUCUCGUAGCGACACAGGAGGCACUCUGAAUGGCCAUCUUCUGGUCAAGGGAAAUCUAGUAUAAUGUAAAAUUUUUGACUUUGUGUGGUUUUGAAAUACAUUAUAGCUGUGCCCUCAGUUUGUUUCUGACACAAUAAAUAAAUAACUAGUUAAAAAGACAGAUUAAACCUGGUUAAAGUAGUUUGAAAUGAGGAUAUAUUAAAACUAGUUAGGCUUUUGUGAAUAGCUACAAAUAAGAUUAGGAGUUCUGAAAACAAAUUAACUACUUGUAUUAUAAACUACUAGUUGUGCCCGG